GGAUUAGAUACCCUGGUAGUCCACGCCGUAAACGAUGGACACUAGCUGUUGGAUUUUCGGAUUCAGUGGCUAAGCGAAAGUGAUAAGUGUCCCACCUGGGGAGUACGAUCGCAAGAUUGAAACUCAAAGGAAUUGACGGGGGCCCGCACAAGCGGUGGAGCAUGUGGUUUAAUUCGAUGAUACGCGAGGAACCUUACCAGGGCUUAAAUGUAGAGUGACAGGUCUAGAGAUAGAUUUUUCUUCGGACACUUUACAAGGUGCUGCAUGGUUGUCGUCAGCUCGUGCCG
rnacentral:rRNA from 1 species